rnacentral:rRNA from 1 species
ACUCAAAUGAAUAGACGGGGGCCCGCACAAGCGGUGGAGCAUGUGGAUUAAUUCGAUGCAACGCGAAGAACCUUACCAAGGCUUGACAUGGAGACGACAGGUGCAGAAAUGUACCCUUUCUUCGGAACGUCUCACACAGGUGGUGCAUGGUUGUCGUCAGCUCGUGUCGUGAGAUGUUGGGUUAAGUCCCGCAACGAGCGCAACCCUUAUCUUCAGUUACCAACGGGUAAUGCCGGGAACCCUGGAGAGACUGCCGUGGAUAACACGGAGGAAGGUGGGGAUGAUGUCAAAUCAUCAUGCCCCUUACGCCUUGGGCUUCACACGUGCUACAAUGGUCUCUACAAAGUGAUGCAAAACAGUGAUGUGGAGCGGACCACAAAAAGAGACCCCAGUUCGGAUUGUAGGCUGCAACUCGCCUGCAUGAAGUUGGAAUCGCUAGUAAUCGCGAAUCAGCAUGUCGCGGUGAAUACGUUCCCGGGCCUUGCACACACCGCCCGU